UACGGGGGGAGCAAGCGUUGUUCGGAUUUACUGGGCGUAAAGCGUGCGCAGGCGGUCUUUUAAGUCAGAUGUGAAAUCCCCGGGCUUAACCUGGGAACUGCGUUUGAAACUGGAAGGCUUGAGUGUGGCAGAGGGGGGUGGAAUUCCACGUGUAGCAGUGAAAUGCGUAGAGAUGUGGAGGAACACCGAUGGCGAAGGCAGCCCCCUGGGCUAACACUGACGCUGAGGCGCGAAAGCCAGGGGAGCGAACGGG
rnacentral:rRNA from 1 species